GGAUGCGAGGGUGAUCUGGUUGUGACAUCUGUCACCCCAUUGAUCGCCAGGGUUGAUUUGGCUGAUCUGGCUGGCCAGGCAGGUGCACUCUUGCUCCCUCAUGCUCCUUGUGUGUCCCUCCUGAAGCUGUGUGUUCAGUCAAAGAUGACGACCAUCCCCAAUGGAGGACUGUUCUUUGGUCAAGAGUGGCUGUGCUCCCCUGCUAGAACCUCCAAAUAAGCUCUUAAAAAUUAAACAGUUCACCUGAAAUGAUAUUGGAUCAAGUAUGUGAUAAACUCAGGGAUCAUAUUAUCUAAAAUAAUUCAUAGGUUUACCUGUUUAAAAUAACU
rnacentral:snRNA from 1 species